GAGGGUAUAGCUAUGUGGUAGAAUGUGUGCUUAGCAUGCACAAGUUCCUGGGUUCAAUCCCCAGAACCUCCA
rnacentral:tRNA from 1 species